ACGCUCGACACCUACUGGAGGCAGCAGUUGGGAAUAUUGGACAAUGGAGGAAACUCUGAUCCAGUGACGCCGCGUGAAGGAAGAAGGUCUUCGGAUUGUAAACUUAUUUUGUCAGGGAAGAAAAAAUGACUGUACCUGAAGAAAAAGCACCGGCUAACUACGUGCCGGCAGCCGCGGUAAUCUGAGCGGGCUGGCAAGGC
rnacentral:rRNA from 1 species